UUUUUGUGCCUACUCUAAAUUCUUAAAAUUUUCUACUCUUUUUUCCAUAAAAAUCUAGAUUUCUACAGUAGAUUUAUACCUUUUCUUUAGUUGAUUAGCAAAAAAUAUAGUUAAUCAUCAAAGUAGUUUUCGUAUAUGCAUUUUUUUUCACAUUCCUUUUUCUUGAUUUCUUUUUUAGCUUAGAGCUAAGAAAUUGUUGCAUUUGAAGAAGAAGAAUCAGAAAGGAGAAGAGACGCACAUGUAGGAGUAGCAACCCAGAUGAGUUGUUGAGGUCGAUUCAUUAUAAUCAUGGACUUCUAUAUUACUUGAACCAACAACGAGGCUAUUUUUGUAAAUUUAUUUUUCUGGAAGACAUUUGAUCUGUUGGUGUCAAUUUUUGUUUUUUUUUUUUUGAAACUUAAUUUUUGUUUUUCAUAUUGUAAUUUUUUGUGUACUUUGUUGCUUCAUGUUGUAUUCUAUACUGUGUUUUUGUUGCUCAAUGAUACCCGUUUAGGACCCUUUAAUGCUACGAAUUAGAGAAGAUGCUCCAGUAGAGGAGAUACCUAUUUAGAGAAGAUGCUCUAACUUAUAUUUUGUCCAUGUCCCUCUGGUCUUUA
rnacentral:lncRNA from 1 species